rfam:Gossypium raimondii Chr06_contig_1240, whole genome shotgun sequence.
CACGUCAGCGCGAUUUGCUGACGUGGCAACAAAUCGUGUCCACAAGGGGGCGAUUUGUUGCCACAUCAGCAAAUCACGCUGACGUGG